rnacentral:rRNA from 1 species
GACGAACGCUGGCGGCGUGCUUAACACAUGCAAGUCGAACGGAAAGGCCCUGCUUUUGUGGGGUGCUCGAGUGGCGAACGGGUGAGUAACACGUGAGUAACCUGCCCUUGACUUUGGGAUAACUUCAGGAAACUGGGGCUAAUACCGUAUAGGAGCUCCUGCUGCAUGGUGGGGGUUGGAAAGUUUCGGCGGUUGGGGAUGGACUCGCGGCUUAUCAGCUUGUUGGUGGGGUAGUGGCUUACCAAGGCUUUGACGGGUAGCCGGCCUGAGAGGGUGACCGGCCACAUUGGGACUGAGAGACGGCCCAGACUCCUACGGGAGGCAGCAGUGGGGAAUAUGGCACAAUGGGCGGAAGCCUGAUGCAGCAACGCCGGGUGCGGGAUGACGGCCUUCGGGUUGUAAACCGCUUUCGCCUGUGACGAAGCGUGAGUGACGGUAAUGGGUAAAGAAGCACCGGCUAACUACGUG